UAGGGAAUNNNNNUNAAAUGGGCGAAAGCCUGACGGAGCAACGCCGCGUGAGUGAUGAAGGUCUUCGGAUCGUAAAACUCUGUUAUUAGGGAAGAACAUAUGUGUAAGUAACUGUGCACAUCUUGACGGUACCUAAUCAGAAAGCCACGGCUAACUACGUGCCAGCAGCCGCGGUAAUACGUAGGUGGCAAGCGUUAUCCGGAAUUAUUGGGCGUAAAGCGCGCGUAGGCGGUUUUUUAAGUCUGAUGUGAAAGCCCACGGCUCAACCGUGGAGGGUCAUUGGAAACUGGAAAACUUGAGUGCAGAAGAGGAAAGUGGAAUUCCAUGUGUAGCGGUGAAAUGCGCAGAGAUAUGGAGGAACACCAGUGGCGAAGGCGACUUUCUGGUCUGUAACUGACGCUGAUGUGCGAAAGCGUGGGGAUCAAACAGGAUUAGAUACCCUGGUAGUCCACGCCGUAAACGAUGAGUGCUAAGUGUUAGGGGGUUUCCGCCCCUUAGUGCUGCAGCUAACGCAUUAAGCACUCCGCCUGGGGAGUACGACCGCAAAGGUUG
rnacentral:rRNA from 1 species